GGCAGUUUGGCCGAGUGGUCUAAGGCGUCGGUCUCAAGCAUAAUGCUUACAUGAAACAUUCAUGUUCAAUUCCGAUCUCGAAAGAGGCGUGAGUUCAAAUCUCACAGCUGUCA